rnacentral:rRNA from 1 species
AUGACGCUGGCGGCAGGCUACACCUGCAGUUAACGGUAACAGGAUAGCUUGCUCAUCGCUGACGAGUGGCGGACGGGUGAGUAAUACUUAGGGAUCUGCCUCUGUGUGGGGGAUAACUAUUGGAAACGAUAGCUAAUACCGCAUAAUGUCUACGGACCAAAGCGGGCUUCGGCUCGUGCGCAGAGAGGAACCUAAGCGAGAUUAGCUAGUUGGUGAGGUAAAGGCUCACCAAGGCGACGAUCUCUAGCUGUUCUGAGAGGAAGAUCAGCCACACUGGAACUGAGACACGGUCCAGACUCCUACGGGAGGCAGCAGUGAGGAAUAUUGGUCAAUGGACGAAAGUCUGAACCAGCCAUGCCGCGUGAAGGAUGACGGCCCUACGGGUUGUAAACUUCUUUUGUAUAGGAAGAAACCCCUCUACGUGUAGAGGGCUGACGGUACUAUUCGAAUAAGCACCGGCUAACUCCGUGCCAGCAGCCGCGGUAAUACGGAGGGUGCGAGCGUUAUCCGGAAUUAUUGGGUUUAAAGGGUGCGUAGGCGGAAAUUUAAGUCAGUGGUGAAAGCCUGCAGCUUAACUGUAGAAUUGCCAUUGAUACUGGAUUUCUUGAAUCUAAUA